rnacentral:rRNA from 1 species
UACGGGGGGGGCAAGCGUUGUUCGGAAUUACUGGGCGCAAAGGGCUCGUAGGUGGCCAACUAAGUCAGACGUGAAAUCCCUCGGCUUAACCGGGGAACUGCGUCUGAUACUGGAUGGCUUGAGGUUGGGAGAGGGAUGCGGAAUUCCAGGUGUAGCGGUGAAAUGCGUAGAUAUCUGGAGGAACACCGGUGGCGAAGGCGGCAUCCUGGACCAAUUCUGACGCUGAGGAGCGAAAGCCAGGGGAGCAAACGGG